GAGAAAGUUACAAGAACUGCUAAUUCUCGAACCCAUGAUUAAAAACCAUGGCUUUCUCA
rnacentral:tRNA from 1 species